UACGAAGGGGGCUAGCGUUGCUCGGAAUCACUGGGCGUAAAGCGCACGUAGGCGGAUUCUUAAGUUAGGGGUGAAAUCCUGGAGCUCAACUCCAGAACUGCCUUUGAUACUGGGAGUCUUCGAGUCCGGGAGAGGUGAGUGGAACUGCGAGUGUAGAGGUGAAAUUCGUAGAUAUUCGCAAGAACACCAGUGGCGAAGGCGGCUCACUGGCCCGGUACUGACGCUGAGGUGCGAAAGCGUGGGGAGCAAACGGGG
rnacentral:rRNA from 1 species